rnacentral:rRNA from 1 species
UAUGUGAUCGUCUCUCGCAUAUCAAUAAGCGGAGGAAAAGAAACUAACAAGGAUUCCCCUAGUAACGGCGAGUGAAGCGGGAAGAGCUCAAAUUUGAAAUCUUAAAGGGUUUCCCUUUACGAAUUGUAGUUUAAAGAAGUGUUUUCUGUUGAGGUUUUGGUAAAAGUUCUUUGGAAUAGGACAUCAUAGAGGGUGAGAAUCCCGUAUUUGACCUUUACUUUCAACUUUGUGAUACACUUUCAAAGAGUCGGAUUGUUUGGGAAUGCAGUCCAAAAUGGGUGGUAAAUUUCAUCUAAAGCUAAAUAUUGGCGAGAGACCGAUAGCGAACAAGUACCGUGAGGGAAAGAUGAAAAGAACUUUGAAAAGAGAGUUAAACAGUACGUGAAAUUGUCAAAAGGGAAGCGUUUGACACCAGUGUUGUUUUUCUGAAAAUCAAUUAAAGAACUGUUUAUGCUAAGUUGUUUAGACUUUAUCAGCUAUCUGCUUAGUUUUGAGCUUUUCUUUAAUGCACUUUUCAGUUAACAAGUCCAACAUCAAUUUCUUUUGCUGUAAAAAAGCUUGAGGAAGGUGGCUUGAGAUUCGUCUUAAGUGUUUAUAGCCUCUUGCCUAUGCAGUCGGAGAGAUUGAGGUCCGCAGCGUAGAUCCUUCGGGGCUAAAUGCAUUUGUGCUAAGUUAUAGCAUUUUAUAGACAACUUGUUGACUAUGAUUUGUCUUGUAGCUUACUCGCUUAUGUUAUUUUACCUACGCUUAGGAUGUUGAUCUACAGAGCGAGAGU